CUACGGGAGGCACCAGUGGGGAAUAUUGGACAAUGGGGGAAACCCUGAUCCAGCAAUGCCGCGUGUGUGAAGAAGGCCUGCGGGUUGUAAAGCACUUUCGGUUGGGAGGACUGCUUCUAGCACUAAUAUUGUUGGAAGUUGACGUUACCUUCAGAAGAAGCACCGGCUAACUCCGUGCCAGCAGCCGCGGUAAUACGGAGGGUGCAAGCGUUAAUCGGAAUUACCGGGCGUAAAGCGCGCGUAGGCGGCUAGAUCAGUCGGGUGUGAAAGCCCCGGGCUUAACCUGGGAACUGCAUCCGAUACUGUCUAGCUUGAGUACAGGAGAGGAGAGUGGAAUUCCACAUGUAGCGGUGAAAUGCGUAGAUAUGUGGAGGAACACCAAUGGCGAAGGCAGCUCUCUGGCCUGAUACUGACGCUGAGGUGCGAAAACGUGGGGAGCAAACAGGAUUAGAUACCCGCGUAGUC
rnacentral:rRNA from 1 species